AGGAAACAGAAGGAAGGAGCCAAUCAUGUAGGAUUGGAAUAUUUAAAAGCUGAAGCCAGUGCAGGGAUCCAAAAAAUAAUAAUUUAAAAAGUACACAUACCAGGUCGUGCUAAAGCCCGUUCGCAGACUACAGACGGGACUACUUCCUUACUCUUCCGCCCAGGGGAAAGUCGCCGGAACUCACGUGCACGUAGAUAUCCCUCCGCUUCCCACUGUAAAGUCCGUCAAGAAGCCAAAAAAAAAUUACAGGAUGGUCAAGGUUCGCAUCUGAGUCUAUCAAACGGGUGCUGAGGUGCUAAUCACACACACACUUGCAUAAAGACUAAGGCGAAGAAGAGACGCUCUGGGCACCCAGCAGCCAAAGCAACGCAAACCCAACGGGCAUUUCCCCCCUCUUCUUCUAAGAGCUUUUGUCCUGGCAGAAGAACUCGAGGAGGCCUUUGUCUACAACCUUCAUGUCCAGCCAACCGCAUCCUGGAAAGGUAGAAAACAUUUGCUUCAUGGAGCUUUUGAGAAAGCACUUCGUCAGUUCAUCAAGUGACUCAGGUGAUUCUUAUCUUGCUGCGUUUGGGACGCUGGAAUGCUACAAGUUUAAACAGCUGGGAAACCGCCCUUGGCUGCGCAUGGGCUGCAUGAACUAGCGCACUGCUCGGAUUCUGUCGGGCUGCAUCUCGCUUCCAUUCGUGCAUCCGAUUAUUCACAGAGGCCUACUGCGUGCCCAGGCCAAGUCAGCCGCGAGCCGCGGACCAGCUCCGGCGCCUGCCUUCCCCAGAGGAGCUGGGAUUGGCUCCCCUUACCAGUCCAUUCUGGGCACGCGGGGCCACCUUGCGCCCCCGCGCUGCGAUCCGGGAGGAAGGGACUUCCACGCCGGGGUGAGCAGGACCAGGCGGCGAUGCUCGUUGGCAAAUGGAGAGGUACCGAAGAGACGUCUUUGGCAUCGCACUGCCAACCUGUUGCACUCCGGACAUACUUGAAAUAAGGAACCUUCUCAUUUCUAAAUGAAAAUUACUCGUCUGACAGUUUCCGUGAGUGUGUAGCCCGUCAAAGAUCUCCUCCUACUCCUUUCCCUGGUACCUGGCACUGCCACCCACCCCAUUUCUGAUGCCUCCAUCUGUCACAAUUUCAACUGAGGCCACACUAAUCCAAAUCCAGGAGAUGACUCUUUCAGCUGUUACAAACAGAGAUUCAAAUCAGUCUGUGAACAGUCACCGAGUUCUAAAACCUCUGGGUGAGAUGGUGGCAGAGAGAGACCAGAAUUUGAAGAUCUCAAGUCAGUAAAGGCUUUUUGUUAUCUGUUCAAUUCUAAUUGUUCCUCAAUCCUUCCACCCUCCUUACUACCUUCUGACCAUAAUCUUCAGUAAGCUGUCACCGUAAGAGAAAAUGGACGGAAAGCAGGAGUAGCGGCGAUGCUAUACUAACAGGAAAUGCGGGGGUUCAGUGGCAGCUCUGGACUGACGUCCUCAAGGCAUUCGCAUCUCGACAUCAACCUAAAAAAAUAUCCAUGGGAACUCAUAACCCAGCAAAACCAAAUGCUGCCAGCUGUGGUCAACGUGGGACGUGUGUUACCCUAAGUUCUGUCCCCAGGGAUGUCCCAUCUUACCACCUUCCAUCAGGACAGCAUCAAAGUGACGUUGAUGACAGUUAACAAAACUUCCUGUUCUCAAGGGACCCAUGGUAUGGGAGUACACGCAACUGACCUAAGGCGUGCAUUUCGGAUUUUGCACGUAGCAACCAGUCUGGGUAUGGCCUUUUCUUAAUAAACCCAGAGAGCUGCACAGGAAUACCUAUCAUUGGGUCAAGUUCAUGGCAGAAGUGGAAAUAUCAGAGUUCUUUUUUUUUUUUUUGACAGACUCUCACUCUG